rnacentral:rRNA from 1 species
CUCAGAAUGGUUGGAAAUCAUUCAUAGAGUGUAAAGGCAUAAGGGAGCUUGACUGCGAGACCUACAAGUCGAGCAGGGUCGAAAGACGGACUUAGUGAUCCGGUGGUUCCGCAUGGAAGGGCCAUCGCUCAACGGAUAAAAGCUACCCCGGGGAUAACAGGCUUAUCUCCCCCAAGAGUUCACAUCGACGGGGAGGUUUGGCACCUCGAUGUCGGCUCAUCGCAUCCUGGGGCUGUAGUCGGUCCCAAGGGUUGGGCUGUUCGCCCAUUAAAGCGGUACGCGAGCUGGGUUCAGAACGUCGUGAGACAGUUCGGUCCCUAUCCGUCGUGGGCGUAGGAAAUUUGAGAGGAGCUGUCCUUAGUACGAGAGGACCGGGAUGGACAUACCUCUGGUGUACCAGUUGUCGUGCCAACGGCAUAGCUGGGUAGCUAUGUGUGGACGGGAUAAGUGCUGAAAGCAUCUAAGCAUGAAGCCCCCCUCAAGAUGAGAUUUCCCAACUUCGGUUAUAAGAUCCCUCAAAGAUGAUGAGGUUAAUAGGUUCGAGGUGGAAGCAUGGUGACAUGUGGAGCUGACGAAUACUAAUCGAUCGAAGACUUAAUCAA